CAAUGUUUGGAACUAAUGGUCGAUCUCCUUGAUUCAAACCAAAGUAUUUUUCAACAACCGAAAGCAACACCGCACCUGUAUUCACUUGGUCACCACCUAGAAAAGAAUUGGCGUAAUGGUGACAUACCCGUAUAGAGUCACCAACUUUGCUUUGAAUUCCACCCAGGAAUUUAGGUUCCUUGACUGUUUUAAAGUGAGAAUAUCCCUGUUUAGGUCUGUCCCAUGUUCCAUCAAUCAAACAGUUCAAAAUUUGACUUUCAAAUGGAUGAAUUGAGUAGUCAGCAUCACACUGGUAUCGACAGGCAGACCCUGGUUCUUGAGUUAAGGUUACAUCGGUUGGUGUCACAGCAGCAUGUACAUACUGAGUUUGUUCUAUCACCGUUACAUUGUCUUUCUCCUCUUUGAUCUAGUUGAACCUAUGAAAGAAGUGACUUCUAUUCUAUACGGGAUAUUGACAAAACUACGUAUGGCUCAAUAAUGAACAGAACAUUUUUAUGUUUUUUGUACAUACUUGUACACGGGCAUCAGUUAAACAAGCUUCUGUUUGCUUGCAUCCUUUCAUGAUGAUUGUCGUAGAACCCCAUCUUCUUUGUAUGGUCUCACAAGAAUCCUGCAAUGAUAUAAAUAGUAACAUGUGUAGCAUGCUUCAAUUAAUAAAAUUGAAUUUUAAUGAAAA